UGCCCAGCAACUCCUAUCCCUACCUCCUCGUGGUACUGGCCGGGGUACGAGUAACCUUGGGGAAGAUCGGGUAACCAACCCCCGGUGGGAACUUUUAUCGUAUGCUGACAGGGAAGG
rnacentral:ribozyme from 1 species